UACGUAGGAGGCAAGCGUUGUCCGGAAUCACUGGGCGUAAAGAGUGUGUAGGCGGUGUUCUAAGUCUGUUGUGAAAUCUCCCGGCUUAACUGGGAGGGUGCGGCGGAAACUGGAAUGCUAGAGGAUGGGAGAGGUAAGCGGAAUUCCUGGUGUAGCGGUGAAAUGCGUAGAUAUCAGGAGGAACACCUGUGGUGUAGACAGCUUACUGGACCAUUUCUGACGCUGAGACACGAAAGCGUGGGUAGCAAACAGG
rnacentral:rRNA from 1 species